rnacentral:rRNA from 1 species
AUACGGAGGGUCCGAGCGUUAAUCGGAAUUACUGGGCGUAAAGCGCGCGUAGGCGGAUAUUUAAGUCAGAUGUGAAAUCCCUGGGCUCAACCUAGGAACUGCAUUUGAAACUGGAUAUCUAGAGUAUGGUAGAGGUGAGUGGAAUUUCAGGUGUAGCGGUGAAAUGCGUAGAGAUCUGAAGGAACAUCAGUGGCGAAGGCGACUCACUGGGCCAUUACUGACGCUGAGGUGCGAAAGCGUGGGUAGCAAACAGGAUUAGAAACCCUAGUAGUCC